rnacentral:rRNA from 1 species
GACGAACGCUGGCGGCGUGCUUAACACAUGCAAGUCGAACGGUGAAGCGAAUGCUUGCACUCGUGGAUCAGUGGCGAACGGGUGAGUAACACGUGAGUAACCUGCCCAUCACUCUGGGAUAAGCACUGGAAACGGUGUCUAAUACUGGAUACGACCAACCCUUGCAUGGGGUGUUGGUGGAAAGAUUUAUCGGUGAUGGAUGGACUCGCGGCCUAUCAGCUUGUUGGCGGGGUAAUGGCCCACCAAGGCGACGACGGGUAGCCGGCCUGAGAGGGUGACCGGCCACACUGGGACUGAGACACGGCCCAGACUCCUACGGGAGGCAGCAGUGGGGAAUAUUGCACAAUGGGCGAAAGCCUGAUGCAGCGACGCCGCGUGAGGGAUGACGGCCUUCGGGUUGUAAACCUCUUUCAGCAGGGAAGAAGCGAAAGUGACGGUACCUGCAGAAGAAGCACCGGCUAACUACGUG